UCCUGGUUAGCUCGGUUGGUAGAGCGUUCCACUCGAAAUGGAAAUGUCCCUGGUUCGAUACCAGUACCAGGCG